UUUUUUAACUCAGCUGCAUUUAUAUUAUGCUUGUUUGUCUAACCCUUAAUUACAAAAUACAAAACUCUCUCUUCCUCUCUAGAUUCAUCCUUUCCAAUUUCCCAUUUUCAAACUUUAAUUAUCACUUACAAUUUGGGAUUUUCAGGCCAAGAUUUCAGGCAAAUUUAACUGUUCAACAAGAUUCAAAACUCGAAUCUUUCUGAAAUUUUCAAAGGUUUAAGCUUUAAACUUGUUACUUCCACAAAUUUGACGGAGAAUUCAGAAUUGGAGUAACCCAGAAAGUAUUUUGGGAGAGGGCUGUUUGCAAAUUUCUGCUGGAUGCUGAGUCAGUAGCUAUGAUCUUCCAGUCAAAAGGUUCUAGAUUUGUAAUUUCACGAGAUAGGUAGAUACUUGUUGACGAGUCGUGAACUGUGGACAUGGAUAAAGUGCCUCAGGAUUGCCCUUACCCUGGAUGUUUCUUCUGUGUAAUGAAGGAGGGAAAUCCAAGCAAGCGUAGAGCUAGCAUCCACAAAUUUUUCAGGGAACUGCCUUCACAGGAUGAUGAUGGUCAGGUUCUUCCUAUUAGUGGCCUAUGGAACACUGCCAUGGCACAUCCCAAUGACCCAGAGUUCAUUGAAUUGGGAAUAUUUGAAUGCAUGGCUGCUCUUAUAUGGAAAGGCCUAAAGAAUCGUCGGUGGCUUUCUCAUGAUCAAAAUAUAUAUGUUCCUUACUAUGCUGCCCAUAUAAUUGGUUCGUACACUAUGAACAUGGAGGAGUUUGCUGAAACUGCUGUUCAUGCUGUAGUAAUCCCUCCUUUAGUUGAACUUUUAAGAGGGAGGUUGACUUGGGUUGAACAGAGAGUGGCAGUUCGGGCACUUGGACACUUGGCUACUUAUGCUAGUACUUUUUCUGCCAUAGCAAGUCAUGGUGAAAUUCUUGAGCUAUCCAUCCAAUUGGCAAUGAGCUGCUUAGAGAUUGUUUACACACAUUUUUAUCAGUAUGUUGACAGAAGACUUAGCUAUCAUUGUGAUCUGCUCACACGUGGCAUGGGAGGUGUUGAGAUGGAGUCCAGGAAGGCAGAGGAAUGGGCAAGUCAGUUACAAUGCUGGUCCCUUCAACUGAUAAAUUGCUUUGCAUUUAAACCUGAGUUCCUUCCUACAAUUUGCAAGUCUGAGUUCCUCUCGAAACUGCCAGGCAUGUGGGGUGGACUUGUCAAUGAAAACUCACCAGCUGGCAUUGGAUUACUGCGGACCAUCUGUCACCAUAAAGUUGGCCGGGGACCUGUUGCCAACUGUCCCGAAGUUAUUGAAGCACUGUGCAAUAUUGCUCGUUCCUCAGAUGAUUGGCAGUAUAUGGCCGUUGACUGUCUUCUUUGGUUGCUCCAGGAUCCAAGCACUUGUCAUAAGGUUUUUGAGAAGGCAGUGCCCGCUUUGCUGGAUCUGUCAGAAAUCUCAACUCUUGGGGAUCACAAAAAAUUGGGAGAUUCCAUUGUUAAUGUUCUUCCUGAAUGUGUUGUUCAAUUCACAUCAGCAGCUGGUCGCAAUUCUCUGGGUGACCACAUGAAGGAACAAAUUGAGGAGGUUUUGGGUUCCCGGCAGAGAUUGAAAGGGGAGAAGAACAUGCCCAAAGAGGAUUUACAUAUUAAACAGGCUGCUGCAUUGGUGGUCAAGCUUGAGGGGAAUUCGCUAUUCUCUGCUGGUAACAUAGCUGGGGCUGCAGCUAAAUAUUCAGAAGCUUUGUCAUUAUGUCCAAUGAGAUCGAAGAAGGAAAGAGUUGUCUUAUUUAGUAAUCGAGCUCAAUGCCACUUGCUUUUGCAGCAACCCUUGGCUGCUAUAAGCGAUGCUACACGUGCUCUUUGUCUACACAAUCCUGUCAAUCGUCAUGCUAAAAGCCUGUGGAGAAGAGCUCAGGCUUAUGACAUGUUAGGCUUCGCUAAAGAGAGUUUGUUAGAUGCUAUUUUAUUUAUCAACGAAUGCUGUCAAUCAAAUGACCCUGACCUCUCAUUGAGGCAAAAUAAAGUUCCUGACUAUGCUGAGCGCUUAGUUAAAAAACAGAUGCGUGUAGCUUGGCUGUUCCGGGAAGCAGCUGUAAAACAUGGAGGUGUUCAUGGGGAGGCUGGUGCUGGUGACAUUUCUGGUCAGGAGACUGAUGAUUCUGAAUGGGAAACAGCUAGUGAAAGUGAUAUAGGAGAUGACGACAAGCAUGAGAUAGGAAGAGAAGAUUGUGACUGGAAGAACGAUGAACAGCGGAAAAGCAAAUAUAGUAAACCUUCCAAAAAAGAGGUGAGCUGAUGAAUAGUGUAAGCACUGCAAUGUAAGACACUCUCUCCAGUUUCUUUGUGCUCGAGACUCAGGUGCUAAGCAUGAUUCAACAACCAUGGUUGAAGAUUAUAGAUUAAGAUGAUUAAAUCAGUUUCCUGCUAAUUUGAAUGAUGCAACUGUCAUCAAGAAAGAAAAGUGAUCAUCUUAUUCGAUUUCAACAUAAGCAGCCAUCAUACGCUGCUGCAGACUGUGGUCUUAUUUUUGAAGCUGAAGUGCAAGAGAGAGCCUGCUCAGUGAGUCACUGUAUUUAGAUGUAUAACGUGUGUCAUAUCUGCAUUUCACCUUUGUUUUUCGGAUUUUAGACAGUUUUGCUCAAAGUACAUGUAGACCAAUCUGAUUGCAUUGCUCAAACGAGCCCGUUUGUUUUGUUUCCUCUGUCUCCUUGUAUCUUUGUCUUUUUGAACCACUUUCAGCUGUGUGUAGUGUUGUAAGAAAAUAUUGUAUAUAGACUCUCGUAACUGGGAGUGUGUUUGCCUCAGAUGCUAGUGUCAUUUUGUUCCA